AGAAAAUCAGCGGGACCCACCACCCACUCAAACAUAUGGUUUAGAGACUUUUUUUUUAUGCUCAUUCUCUCUCCCCGCUGAAUCCUCUCUCUCGGCCAGUGCUUUAUCUCUCUGCCUUUUUCUUUUUCUUUUUCCUUUGCAAUUUGAAUCUUUGAUUAAUUCAUCAUCUCUUGCCGGAUUUAGGUGCCGUUUGAGGCAAAACGACGAGUGUGACGAGUUCUACGCGUUGAUGCAAGCAAUUUCCAGUUUUGAGCCUUCUUUGGAACUCGAAAAUUUAGGACCCAUUUUCUAGGGUUUGCUCAUUUUUGAGGUCUUGGAAAAGAACCGGUGAACGACAACCCACCUCAAGCUUGAGCGAUACUAGAAGCUCACUUUUGUGUCUUUUGUAUAUCUCCCAUUAUUUUUGCAAAGCACUAAAAGUGUGAAGGUGUAUAUGUAUAUUUUGCAAAAACUUUGUCAUGUAAUGUAAUUAAGGUAUUUGAUGAUA